ACUUUCUACUUUUUGAGUGUUUGUAUUGAGUUUUGUUUUAAGAAGUGCAGUUUUGCCGAGUCGAAGUUCUAGGCAUUUUCUUAACAAUUCUUUAUCGCCUUCUUUCAUUUUCAGAACUGAAUCUGCAGGUAAAUAGGCAGGUUUCCAUGCCUUGAUCCGCCUGCCCGAACACACAAAUGAAUGCCUUUGACACAGUGUUGAACAGUUGCCACUCACACAGGCCACGAUGGAAUCGAUGGUGUGUUUCGUUCUCAGCAAUGGUGUAGACCGCUUGAGUUGCAGGCUGGAGGGGUGUGCUCGAGCUCCCACCGAAAAGUCUGUUGUUGUAACGGCAGUCUCCCUCAACACUUAUCUUGUGAUCACUGGAAAUCUUCCAAGGCAUCGGGAACAGCUGGGUGAGGCCGAAGUAACCGCAUAUUGCCAGUCGUCCCCUGUGAAUCGGUGACCACAUAUGAAGAUGCACCUCGACUCGUUGACGGCUUAGCCACUGCAUCAAAGUCUUCCCUGGACAGCCUGGUACAGGCCAAAUCAGACCAACACAGUGACACUCCUCAAAGAGUUAUCCCCCCUUGACCAGCCGUCAACAUAUAACCAAGUGACUUUCGUGAAGUGCCAAAUGUUAGUAUUCAUGUUGGAGCAAUAAAAUUUAUAAACCGA